rnacentral:rRNA from 1 species
CAGUCGCCGCGGGAAUACGUAGGGUGCGAGCGUUAAUCGGAAUUACUGGGCGUAAAGCGUGCGCAGGCGGUUCGUUAAGACAGAUGUGAAAUCCCCGGGCUUAACCUGGGAACUGCAUUUGUGACUGGCGAGCUAGAGUAUGGCAGAGGGGGGUAGAAUUCCACGUGUAGCAGUGAAAUGCGUAGAGAUGUGGAGGAAUACCGAUGGCGAAGGCAGCCCCCUGGGCCAAUACUGACGCUCAUGCACGAAAGCGUGGGGAGCAAACAGGAUUAGAUACCCGAGUAGUCCCUGUCUCUUAUAA